rnacentral:rRNA from 1 species
CGGGUGAGUAACACGUGAGUGACCUGCCUUUUAGACUGGAACAACUUACCGAAAGGUGAGCUAAUGGCGGAUGAGUUAUAUAAGUGCAUGUUUAUAUAGGAAAAGUUGGGGAGACCUGACGCUGAAAGAUGGACUCGCGUCCCAUUAGCUAGUUGGUAGGGUAAUGGCCUACCAAGGCGACGAUGGGUAGCCGGCCUGAGAGGGUGGCCGGCCACACUGGGACUGAGACACGGCCCAGACUCCUACGGAAGGCAGCAG